rnacentral:rRNA from 1 species
AAUAGAUACCCGGGUAGUCCACGCCCUAAACGAUGUCAACUAGUUGUUCGGUGAGGAGACUCAUUGAGUAACGCAGCUAACGCGUGAAGUUGACCGCCUGGGGAGUACGGCCGCAAGGUUAAAACUCAAAGGAAUUGACGGGGACCCGCACAAGCGGUGGAUGAUGUGGAUUAAUUCGAUGCAACGCGAAAAACCUUAACCUACCCUUGACAUGCCAGGAACUUGCCAGAGAUGGCUUGGUGCUCGAAAGAGAGCCUGGACACAGGUGCUGCAUGGCUGUCGUCAGCUCGUGUCGUGAGAUGUUGGGUUAAGUCCCGCAACGAGCGCAACCCUUGUCAUUAGUUGCCAUCAUUAAGUUGGGCACUCUAAUGAGACUGCCGGUGACAAACCGGAGGAAGGUGGGGAUGACGUCAAGUCCUCAUGGCCCUUAUGGGUAGGGCUUCACACGUCAUACAAUGGUCGGUACAGAGGGUUGCCAAGCCGCGAGGUGGAGCCAAUCCCAGGAAAGCCGAUCGUAGUCCGGAUUGG